GGGCAAUGGACGAAAGUCUGACCCAGCGACGCCGCGUGCGGGAUGAAGGCCUUCGGGUUGUAAACCGCUUUCAGCAGGGAAUAAGCGCAAGUGAAGGUACCUGCAGAAGAAGCACCGGCUAACUAUGUGCCAGCAGCCGCGGUAAUACAUAGGGUGCAAGCGUUGUCCGGAAUUAUUGGGCGUAAAGAGCUCGUAGGUGGUUUGUUACGUCGGUUGUGAAAUUCAGGGGCUCAACCCCUGACUUGCAGCCGAUACGGGCAAGCUAGAGUUUGGUAGGGGAGACUGGAAUUCCUGGUGUAGCGGUGGAAUGCGCAGAUAUCAGGAGGAACACCGAUGGCGAAGGCAGGUCUCUGGGCCAAUACUGACACUGAGGAGCGAAAGCGUGGGGAGCGAACAG
rnacentral:rRNA from 1 species